GACGAACGCUGGCGGCGUGCCUAAUACAUGCAAGUCGUGCGGACAGAAGGGAGCUUGCUCCCGGAAGUUAGCGGCGGACGGGUGAGUAACACGUGGGCAACCUACCCUGUAGAUCGGGAUAACAUCGAGAAAUCGGUGCUAAUACCGGAUAAUCAUUUGAAGUGCAUGCUUCGAAUGUAAAAGAUGGCUCCGGCUAUCACUACGGGAUGGGCCCGCGGCGCAUUAGCUAGUUGGUAAGGUAAUGGCUUACCAAGGCAACGAUGCGUAGCCGACCUGAGAGGGUGAUCGGCCACACUGGGACUGAGACACGGCCCAGACUCCUACGGGAGGCAGCAGUAGGGAAUCUUCCGCAAUGGACGAAAGUCUGACGGAGCAACGCCGCGUGAGUGAUGAAGGUUUUCGGAUCGUAAAGCUCUGUUGUUAGGGAAGAACAAGUGCCGUUUGAAUAAGGCGGCACCUUGACGGUACCUAACCAGAAAGCCACGGCUAACUACGUGCCAGCCGCCGCUGUAAGAC
rnacentral:rRNA from 1 species